rnacentral:rRNA from 1 species
AUUGAACGCUGGCGGCAUGCCUUACACAUGCAAGUCGAACGGCAGCACGGAGCUUGCUCUGGUGGCGAGUGGCGAACGGGUGAGUAAUAUAUCGGAACGUACCCUAGAGUGGGGGAUAACGUAGCGAAAGUUACGCUAAUACCGCAUACGAUCUAAGGAUGAAAGUGGGGGAUCGCAAGACCUCAUGCUCGUGGAGCGGCCGAUAUCUGAUUAGCUAGUUGGUAGGGUAAAAGCCUACCAAGGCAUCGAUCAGUAGCUGGUCUGAGAGGACGACCAGCCACACUGGAACUGAGACACGGUCCAGACUCCUACGGGAGGCAGCAGUGGGGAAUUUUGGACAAUGGGCGAAAGCCUGAUCCAGCAAUGCCGCGUGAGUGAAGAAGGCCUUCGGGUUGUAAAGCUCUUUUGUCAGGGAAGAAACGGUGAGAGCUAAUAUCUUUUGCUAAUGACGGUACCUGAAGAAUAAGCACCGGCUAACUACGUGCCAGCAGCCGCGGUAAUACGUAGGGUGCAAGCGUUAAUCGGAAUUACUGGGCGUAAAGCGUGCGCAGGCGGUUUUGUAAGUCUGAUGUGAAAUCCCCGGGCUCAACCUGGGAAUUGCAUUGGAGACUGCAAGGCUAGAAUCUGGCAGAGGGGGGUAGAAUUCCACGUGUAGCAGUGAAAUGCGUAGAUAUGUGGAGGAACACCGAUGGCGAAGGCAGCCCCCUGGGUCAAGAUUGACGCUCAUGCACGAAAGCGUGGGGAGCAAACAGGAUUAGAUACCCUGGUAGUCCACGCCCUAAACGAUGUCUACUAGUUGUCGGGUCUUAAUUGACUUGGUAACGCAGCUAACGCGUGAAGUAGACCGCCUGGGGAGUACGGUCGCAAGAUUAAAACUCAAAGGAAUUGACGGGGACCCGCACAAGCGGUGGAUGAUGUGGAUUAAUUCGAUGCAACGCGAAAAACCUUACCUACCCUUGACAUGGCUGGAAUCCUUGAGAGAUCAGGGAGUGCUCGAAAGAGAACCAGUACACAGGUGCUGCAUGGCUGUCGUCAGCUCGUGUCGUUAGAUGUUGGGUUAAGUCCCGCAACGAGCGCAACCCUUGUCAUUAGUUGCUACGAAAGGGCACUCUAAUGAGACUGCCGGUGACAAACCGGAGGAAGGUGGGGAUGACGUCAAGUCCUCAUGGCCCUUAUGGGUAGGGCUUCACACGUCAUACAAUGGUACAUACAGAGCGCCGCCAACCCGCGAGGGGGAGCUAAUCGCAGAAAGUGUAUCGUAGUCCGGAUUGUAGUCUGCAACUCGACUGCAUGAAGUUGGAAUCGCUAGUAAUCGCGGAUCAGCAUGUCGCGGUGAAUACGUUCCCGGGUCU